GGGGAUAACUACUGGAAACGGUAGCUAAUACCGCAUACCGUCGCAAGACCAAAGAGGGGGACCUUCGGGCCUCUUGCCAUCGGAUGUGCCCAGAUGGGAUUAGCUUGUUGGUGGGGUAACGGCUCACCAAGGCGACGAUCCCUAGCUGGUCUGAGAGGAUGACCAGCCACACUGGAACUGAGACACGGUCCAGACUCCUACGGGAGGCAGCAGUGGGGAAUAUUGCACAAUGGGCGCAAGCCUGAUGCAGCCAUGCCGCGUGUAUGAAGAAGGCCUUCGGGUUGUAAAGUACUUUCAGCGGGGAGGAAGGGAGUAAAGUUAAUACCUUUGCUCAUUGACGUUACCCGCAGAAGAAGCACCGGCUAACUCCGUGCCAGCAGCCGCGGUAAUACGGAGGGUGCAAGCGUUAAUCGGAAUUACUGGGCGUAAAGCGCACGCAGGCGGUUUGUUAAGUCAGAUGUGAAAUCCCCGGGCUCAACCUGGGAACUGCAUCUGAUACUGGCAAGCUUGAGUCUCGUAGAGGGGGGUAGAAUUCCAGGUGUAGCGGUGAAAUGCGCAGAGAUCUGGAGGAAUACCGGUGGCGAAGGCAGCCCCCUGGACGAAGACUGACGCUCAGGUGCGAAAGCGUGGGGAGCAAACAGGAUUAGAUACCCU
rnacentral:rRNA from 1 species